rnacentral:tRNA from 1 species
GCGCGUGUAGCUCAGCGGUAGAGCAUCCCGUUUACACCGGGACGGUCGGGAGUUCGAUCCUCUCCGCGCGCA